rnacentral:rRNA from 1 species
CCUACGGGAGGCAGCAGUGAGGAAUAUUGGUCAAUGGACGUGAGGCUGAACCAGCCAAGUAGCGUGAAGGAUGACUGCCCUAUGGGUUGUACACUUCUUUUAUAUGGGAAUAAAAGUUUCCACGUGUGGGUUUUUGUAUGUACCCUAUGAAUAAGCAUCGGCUAACUCCGUGCCAGCAGCCGCGGUAAUACGGAGGAUGCGAGCGUUAUCCGGAUUUAUUGGGUUUAAAGGGAGCGUAUGUGGAUUGUUAAGUCAGUUGUGAAAGUUUGUGGCUCAACCGUAAAAUUGCAGUUGAAACUGGCAGUCUUGAGUAUAGUAGAGGUGGGCGGAAUUCGUGGUGUAGCGGUGAAAUGCUUAGAGAUCACGAAGAACUCCGAUUGCGAAGGCAGCUCACUGGACUACAACUGACACUGAGGCUCGAAAGUGUGGGUAUCAAACAGGAUUAGAUACCCCUGUAGUC